rnacentral:rRNA from 1 species
CGAACGGCAGCAGACAGUAGCUUGCUACUGUGCUGGCGAGUGGCGAACGGGUGAGUAACGCGUAGGGAUCUGCCCUAAAGUGGGGGAUAACCCGGGGAAACUCGGGCUAAUACCGCAUAAGCUCCACGGAGUAAAGAAGGCCUCUGUUUCAUGCUUUCGCUUUAGGAUGAACCUGCGUCCGAUUAGCUUGUUGGUAGGGUAAAGGCCUACCAAGGCGACGAUCGGUAGCUGUUCUGAGAGGAAGAUCAGCCACACUGGGACUGAGACACGGCCCAGACUCCUACGGGAGGCAGCAGUGGGGAAUAUUGGACAAUGGGGGCAACCCUGAUCCAGCAAUGCCGCGUGUGUGAAGAAGGCCUGCGGGUUGUAAAGCACUUUCAGUAGGGAGGAAGACCUCGUUGUUAAUACCAGCGAGCGAUGACGUUACCUACAGAAGAAGCACCGGCUAACUCUGUGCCAGCAGCCGCGGUAAUACAGAGGGUGCAAGCGUUAAUCGGAAUUACUGGGCGUAAAGCGCACGUAGGUGGAUAAGCAGGUUGGAUGUGAAAGCCCCGGGCUUA